rnacentral:rRNA from 1 species
CCUACGGGUGGCAGCAGUGAGGAAUAUUGGUCAAUGGGCGCGAGCCUGAACCAGCCAAGUCGCGUGAGGGAAGACGGUACUAUGGAUUGUAAACCUCUUUUGUCGGGGAGCAAAAGACGCCACGCGUGGCGUUCCGAGAGUACCCGAAGAAAAAGCAUCGGCUAACUCCGUGCCAGCAGCCGCGGUAAUACGGAGGAUGCGAGCGUUAUCCGGAUUUAUUGGGGUAAAAGGGUGCGCAGGCGGAAGAUCAAGUCAGCGGUAAAAUUGAGAGGCUCAACCUCUUCGAGCCGUUGAAACUGGUGUUCUUGAGUGAGUGAGAAGUAUGCGGAAUGCGGGGUGUAGCGGUGAAAUGCAUAGAUAUCACGCAGAACUCCGAUUGCGAAGGCAGCAUACCGGCGCUCAACUGACGCUCAUGCACGAAAGUGUGGGUAUCGAACAGGAUUAGAUACCCGAGUAGUC